UACAGAGGUCCCAAGCGUUGUUCGGAUUCACUGGGCGUAAAGGGUGCGCAGGUGGUUUGGCAAGUUUGACGUGAAAGCCCCGGGCUUAACCCGGGAAUGGCGUUUGGGACUGGAAGGCUGGAGUACGGCAGAGGGAGGUGGAAUUCCACGUGUAGCAGUGAAAUGCGUAGAGAUGUGGAGGAACACCGAUGGCGAAGGCAAUCCCCUGGGCCUGCACUGACGCUCAUGCACGAAAGCGUGGGGAGCAAACAGG
rnacentral:rRNA from 1 species